CAGCCGCCACGGGAAUACGGAGGGUGCAAGCGUUAAUCGGAAUUACUGGGCGUAAAGCGCGCGCAGGCGGUCUGACAAGUCAGAUGUGAAAUCCCCGGGCUUAACCUGGGAACUGCAUUUGAAACUGUCAGGCUGGAGUCUUGUAGAGGGGGGUAGAAUUCCAGGUGUAGCGGUGAAAUGCGUAGAGAUCUGGAGGAAUACCGGUGGCGAAGGCGGCCCCCUGGACAAAGACUGACGCUCAGGUGCGAAAGCGUGGGGAGCAAACAGGAUUAGAUACCCCUGUAGUCCCUGUCUCUUAUAC
rnacentral:rRNA from 1 species